GACGAACCACACGAACGUUAUUCGGAAUUACUGGGCUUAAAGGGCGCGUAGGCGGGCUCGCCAGUCAGGGGUGAAAGCCCACGGCUCAACCGUGGAAGUGCCCCUGAUACUGCGGGCCUCGAGGGAGGUAGGGGCGUGCGGAACUUCCGGUGGAGCGGUGAAAUGCGUAGAUAUCGGAAGGAACACCGGUGGCGAAAGCGGCGCGCUGGACCUCUUCUGACGCUGAGGCGCGAAAGCCAGGGGAGCAAACGGGAU
rnacentral:rRNA from 1 species